GAUGAACGCUGGCGGCGUGCCUAAUACAUGCAAGUCGAGCGAACAGAUGAGGAGCUUGCUCCUCUGACGUUAGCGGCGGACGGGUGAGUAACACGUGGAUAACCUACCUAUAAGACUGGGAUAACUUCGGAAAACCGGAGCUAACACCGGAUAAUAUAUUGAACCGCAUGGUUCAAUAGUGAAAGACGGUUUUGCUGUCACUUAUAGAUGGAUCCGCGCCGCAUUAGCUAGUUGGUAAGGUAACGGCUUACCAAGGCAACGAUGCGUAGCCGACCUGAGAGGGUGAUCGGCCACACUGGAACUGAGACACGGUCCAGACUCCUACGGGAGGCAGCAGUAGGGAAUCUUCCGCAAUGGGCGAAAGCCUGACGGAGCAACGCCGCGUGAGUGAUGAAGGUCUUCGGAUCGUAAAACUCUGUUAUUAGGGAAGAACAAAUGUGUAAGUAACUAUGCACGUCUUGACGGUACCUAAUCAGAAAGCCACGGCUAACUACGUG
rnacentral:rRNA from 1 species